CAGUCUCAGUCCUGCUUCCACCCUUUGUUUUCCUCUGGACUCUUCUAAAGACUGUCAGUCCACAUCCUGGCUCCAGCUUCCAGAUUUUCUCUCCCACUCCACACCUGUAGCCAUUUUACUAAUUAGCUUACAUGUUUGCCUGUUCCCUUUGUUUGGUUGUCAGAUUGUCUGAUGUGCUCACCAUCUUGUCAAUCAGCCACAGUUUCCCUAGCCCUCUGGGCAUUGAACACUUUCUAGGGUUGUUUCCUAGUGUUAGUCUUUCUUCUUGUGUUGGAUUAUUUCUUCAUGUUGACCCUGCCUGCCUCUGGUCUCUGUCUCUUGCUUAACCAUUUGGAUUUAUUGCUUGGCCUGGACUGAAUGCACACCUUUGACUCCUGUUUGGACUUUCUGCUGCUAUCUCCUCAGUUUUGCCUGCCUGGACUGCAAGUAAACCUCAUGUUUGUCAUGUGCUAAAAAACAAACAAAUGAAAAACUAACUGGAUAUGUCAGUGAAGCUUGUUCAAGUGGCCAAAUCCAUUUAUACAGUGGAACACACCAGAGGAGGAGUUGAUGGGCCAAGUGCCAUUACCUGAUAAUUACAGCUAAAAGUCUCUAUGCUAACGAGGAUGGCUCAUCAUCACGGUGCUGGCAGACAUACAGGACACAAACAUCUACAAUUCAGAUUAAAAGCACUUGUGUUCAG